rnacentral:lncRNA from 1 species
CUAAAACACCCUGUUUCAAUCAGGCGAGGUAAUUCUUCCUUCGAGAGAGGCAGAACGAGAUCGUCGAGGACAGACAACUACGACUACACCGGCAAAACUUGAUUCCCAAACAGGUUUCUUCACAUUUAAGGAACUGAAGACUUUUAAACAUGGAACGAGUUCUUGUAAUUUUACUUUUGAUGUGCCUCAUUGCCUUUUUCCAGUUGCAUGAAAGUGAAGCUGGUCUUUUGGAGAAGACUGGAUUGAGGGGGUCAUUGACGAACCAUCCCUCUUCCCAGGCCAUCGCUGACAUCAUUUCGGAGACUGAGAUCAAGCCUGUUCCGAAGACUGAGCUCCAGGAUCAGACUCAUACCCUCCACAAGGAAAUCUGUUGCUUUGACUGACCAAAUCCUGUUUAAAUAAAGGAUUGUUGUUGAUUGUUGUUUAAGAACUGUGAUUUGAUAAUUGAGUGGAAAAUCAGGCUGAGCAUUGAGCAAAAGAAAUAAAAGUUAUAUUGAUUAA